UUCUCUCUUUUGACAUUGAAAUCAACGUCUAAAUUUACUGAAUAACAUUACCUCAUAUGUUGCCUUUCCAGAUGAUUGUCAUGGAGUGCCAAUCGGUCCAAGGGUAACUCAGCUGAAACCAUGCUGCUAAUAACAAGCUCACUGUGAAUUUGUUAUAAUUAGGCACAAUCUUAUUGGCUCUACAUUGUACCAUGGGGUCUGUACAAAGCUGUUAACUACAUUAAAGAGACUUGUGGAAAUCCUACCAUGAUUUUGGCUGAGAAUUGUACAUUAUGAAUGGAUGAUCUGGGAAAGUGUUGCAUGUUCUAAGGAUUUACAUGAGACCACAAGGAUCAACUACUAAAAGAGCUAUUUAGCAGAAUUGAAGAAACAAGCAAUGAGGGAGCCAAUGUGAUCAGCUACUUCCAGUGGACAUUGCUUUCUAAUUUCGAAAAGAGACUCAGGUACACAUCAAGGUCCGUCAUUGUCUAUAUUGAUUUCAAAACCCUCAAGAGAUACCCAAAGAUGUCCACCUACUGGUUCCGACGGCUGCUAUACCGAAGCCAGCAUUAAGCAAAAGAAUGGUUCUCUCUAUCUUUCAAUAUUGCCAUCUGCCAUCUUUCCAUUCGAAUUUAAAGCUGCCACAUGAAUUUCACUGGAAGUGAUGGACUCGUUCAGAGCAAAUGGAAAGGAUGAAGAACAAAUUGGCUAGUGGAUGCAAUAUUGAAGAACAAAUUCAACACUUGAAAAAUUGAAGAGGACGUUGAUUGCACAAUGGAGGAACUCAAAAACUGAAAUAUAUUAUAUUGAAAGAUUGAGGACUUGAUGAUUAAUAUUACAUUAAAGGCUUUGAAUUGGAGUCAAAUUUGGUGGCUAUGGAAUUAUUAUAUAAAGAUGUACACGCAGGAGGAAUUAGGGAGAGAUGGGAGUCCUUUCGUGAGUCAACCAUUGUGGCUGCUAGAAUUUUCUUUUGAUAUAUAUAUACACGUAUAUACUGAAGAGAAGGAAGCAGCCAAUUUUAAUAUAUAUUUUUCCACACACCAUAUUAUAGAGAAGCACGAAACUUUUGGCAGGAAUUCGAUAUUUUUUGGCACACAUUUUGAGGUGGCAAGAGGUGAUUGACACAGAUAGGGGGUACGGCUGUUGGGAGAAUUAAUUGGAGGGAGCUGGGGAUUUCUUUUUCUGCCAGUAAUAGAGACGCACAGAAAACCAAGGGUGAGGAAAUACUAUAUUUUAUACACACUUCGGAGGCUGAAAUUGUAAAAACCGAGAGAGAGCAAAAAGGAGGCAGAAUAUAUACACGCAUACACGGCCAAAGAUGGCAACACGCGACGGCUUUACUUUUACAAAUUAUUCACGUUCCGUCCAUUUUCAGUGAUGCCUUCCAUAAUUUCUUACAUACACGGCCAGAGAUGGCAACACGCGACGGAUUUACUUUUACAAAUUAUUCACGUUCCGUCCAUUCUCAGUGAUGCCUUCCAUAAUUUCUUGUUUUUCUCUCAUUACUA